rnacentral:rRNA from 1 species
UACAGAGGUCCCAAGCGUUGUUCGGAUUCAUUGGGCGUAAAGGGUGCGUAGGCGGCGCGGUAAGUCGGGUGUGAAAUCUCGGGGCUUAACUCCGAAACUGCAUUCGAUACUGCCGUGCUUGAGGACUGGAGAGGAGACUGGAAUUUACGGUGUAGCGGUGAAAUGCGUAGAUAUCGUAAGGAAGACCAGUGGCGAAGGCGGGUCUCUGGACAGUUCCUGACGCUGAGGCACGAAGGCCAGGAGAGCAAACGGG